UUUAAUGGCCGCAGUAAUUUAACUGUGCGAAGGUAGCAUAAUCAAUAGUUUUUUAAUUGAAAGCUUGUAUGAAAGGUUGGACGAGAUAAUAUCUGUCUUUAUUAUAAUUAUAUUAGAAUUUAAUUUUUAAGUUAAAAAGCUUAAAUUUUUUUAAAAGACGAGAAGACCCUAUAGAGUUUUAUAAUUUAGAAUUUAUAAUUAUUUUAGAUUAAUUAAUUUUAUAUAUUUAUAUUUAUUUUAUUGGGGUAAUAGAAAGAUUUAUAUAAUUCUUUUUUUUUUUAUUAUUUAUCUAUAUAUGUAUGAUCCUUUAUUUAAGAUUAUAAGAUUAAAUUACCUUAGGGAUAACAGCGUAAUUUUUUUUGAAAGUUCUUAUUGAUAAAAAAGAUUGCGACCUCGAUGUUGGAUUAAAGAUUAAUUUAGGUGCAAAAGUUUAAAUUUUUGGUCUGUUCGACCAUUAAAUCUUUACAUGAUCUGAGUUCAGACCGGUGUGAGCCAGGUCGGUUUCUAUCUUUAUUUAUUUAAAAUAUUUUAGUACGAAAGGACCAAAUAUUUAUUAUAUUAAUUUAUAUUUUGAAUAUUAUUAAUUAUUUUGACAGAUUAGUGUGAGGAAUUUAGAAUUCUUUUAUGUAAAUUUUAUUUACAAAUAAUACUUGUAUAUAUUAGAUAAAAGAUUUAUAUUUAUUAGAUUUUUAUUAUUAAUUAUUUGUGUUUUAAUUAGAGUUGCUUUUUUAACUUUAUUAGAACGGAA
rnacentral:rRNA from 1 species